rnacentral:rRNA from 1 species
GACGAACGCUGGCGGCGUGCCUAACACAUGCAAGUCGAGCGGGGACAGAAUUUCGGUUCUGUUCUAGCGGCGGACGGGUGAGUAACGCGUGAGCAACCUGUCCCGAACAGGGGGAUACCAGAUGGAAACAUCUGCUAAUACCGCAUAAGACCACGUCCUCGCAUGGGGAUGGGGUCAAAGGAGAAAUCCGGUUCGGGGUGGGCUCGCGUCCGAUUAGCUAGUUGGUGGGGUAACGGCUCACCAAGGCGACGAUCGGUAGCCGACCUGAGAGGGUGAUCGGCCACAUUGGAACUGAGAGACGGUCCAAACUCCUACGGGAGGCAGCAGUGGGGAAUAUUGGGCAAUGGGGGAAACCCUGACCCAGCAACGCCGCGUGAGGGAAGAAGGUUUUCGGAUUGUAAACCUCUGUCCUCAGGGACGAAAAAAUGACGGUACCUGAGGAGGAAGCCCCGGCUAACUACGUG